rnacentral:rRNA from 1 species
GUACGGGAGGCAGCAGUGGGGAAUCUUGCGCAAUGGGCGAAAGCCUGACGCAGCCAUGCCGCGUGAAUGAUGAAGGUCUUAGGAUUGUAAAAUUCUUUCACCGGGGACGAUAAUGACGGUACCCGGAGAAGAAGCCCCGGCUAACUUCGUGCCAGCAGCCGCGGUAAUACGAAGGGGGCUAGCGUUGCUCGGAAUUACUGGGCGUAAAGGGCGCGUAGGCGGAUCGUUAAGUCAGAGGUGAAAUCCCGGAGCUCAACUUCGGAACUGCCUUUGAUACUGGCGAUCUUGAGUGUGAGAGAGGUAUGUGGAACUCCGAGUGUAGAGGUGAAAUUCGUAGAUAUUCGGAAGAACACCAGUGGCGAAGGCGACAUACUGGCUCAUUACUGACGCUGAGGCGCGAAAGCGUGGGGAGCAAACAGGAUUAGAUACCCCAGUAGUCC